CUGAAAUUUGUGUAAAGGUUAAUCCAAUUAAGGUAAUUUGUGAGCAAGUGAGUAACUCAUUUGCUGCAUGGAGAGCCCCUGUAUUAGAAAAAUCAAAGAGGUAAGCCGCUGUGUAUCACUUCGUAGGAUUCUAAUUGCGAGUUUUAUGUGAUGCAUAUGUGGGUAAUUAAUAUCUGUAUCUCACUCCUUGUUCUGUUGGUUCUUUAUCAUAAUAUUCUGUUAACUCUGUUUAUUUACUCUGUACGUAUAAUUUGAUGGUUUCAUGUGCAUGAAAUGUAAGCCAUUUCCUGUUCUGCUUCUGAUACUUUCGCAUUCUACUUCUUCGACCGCUUCCUAACUAUAACUAUUUUCAUGCUGUGAAUUGCACCAACAAAGAGACUUCUUGUACUCUAUUAAAAAGUUAAAUUAGUUGCAAAACCUUUGGUUAUUAUUUCAGAAUGAGUGGAUUUAUAUUGUCUCGUCUUUUGGAUUUGUUUAUGAGUGCAUUUGUAAUUCACAUAAUUAUUUGUUUUAUUCUAUUAAAAAGUUAAAUAAAUAGUUGCACCUUGGUUAUUACAAUAAUUAGUUGAUCUAUAUUUAUUGUCCCGUCCUUUGGCUUUGUUUAUGAAUUUAUUUGCAAUUCACAUUAUUCAUCAUUUUACUUCAUUUUUAUUUUGAAAUGCAGCUUCAUAUUCGAACACUCCAGGCGGUCAAAGCGAGAAUGAUCCAAAUAAUACAACCAUUUUUGUUGGCAAUUUGGAUCCUAAUGUUACUGACGAUCAUCUGAGGCAAGUUUUCAGCCAAUAUGGUGAACUAGUGCAUGUGAAGAUUCCGUCAGGCAAGAGAUGUGGGUUUGUCCAAUUUUCGGACAGGAGCUCUGCAGAAGAGGCAAUAAGAGUUUUAAAUGGAACUUUAUUAGGUGGACAAAAUGUUCGCCUUUCAUGGGGCCGCACUCUUUCAAACAAACAGACUCAGCAAGAUCCAAACCAGUGGAAUGUUGCUGCAGCUGGCGGUGGUGGUGGAUACUAUGGUUAUCCACAAGGUGGUUAUUG